rnacentral:rRNA from 1 species
GACGAACGCUGGCGGCGUGCUUAACACAUGCAAGUCGAACGGAAAGGCCCUGCUUUUGUGGGGUGCUCGAGUGGCGAACGGGUGAGUAACACGUGAGUAACCUGCCCUUGACUUUGGGAUAACUUCAGGAAACUGGGGCUAAUACCGGAUAGGAGCUCCUGCUGCAUGGUGGGGGUUGGAAAGUUUCGGCGGUUGGGGAUGGACUCGCGGCUUAUCAGCUUGUUGGUGGGGUAGUGGCUUACCAAGGCUUUGACGGGUAGCCGGCCUGAGAGGGUGACCGGCCACAUGGGGACUGAGAGACGGCCCAGAAGCCUACGGGAGGCAGCAGUGGGGAAUAUUGCACAAUGGGCGGAAGCCUGAUGCAGCAACGCCGCGUGCGGGAUGACGGCCUUCGGGUUGUAAACCGCUUUCGCCUGUGACGAAGCGUGAGUGACGGUAAUGGGUAAAGAAGCACCGGCUAACUACGUG